GAUGAACGCUGGCGGCGUGCUUAACACAUGCAAGUCGAACGGUAAUUGUUUUAUUGUAACUUCGGUCGAUUUGAUGCAAUUCUAGUGGCGGCAGGGGGGUUAACGCGUGGGUAACCUUCCUUAUCCGCGGGGAUAACAGUCAGAUAUGGCUGCUAAUACCGCUUAAGCGUACAGAGCUGCAUGGCGCAGUGGGAACGACUCGGGUGGUAUAAGAUGGACCUGCGUUGGAUUAGCUGGUUGGGGGGGGAACGGCCGACGACGGCGACGAUGCAUAGCCGGCCUGGGAGGGGGAACGGCGACAUGGGGACUGAGACACGGCCCAGACUCCUACGGGAGGCAGCAGUGGGGAAUAUUGCGCAAUGGGGGAGACUCUGAUGCAGCGGCGCCGCGGGAAGGAAGAAGUAUCGCGGUAUGUGAACGUCUAUCAGCAGGGAAGAGAUUGACGGUACCUGACUAAGAAGCCCCGGCUAACUACGUG
rnacentral:rRNA from 1 species